CCUUUAAGCUCUUAAAAUUUUUGUCUGCUGUUUAAUUCUGUUUCCGACUCCGACCACUGUUUGGUUCUCACUUGCUCAUAGACAAACAGAGAGAGGCAGAGAGGCAUCAUCAUUGUAAAAGGAUGGACAAACAGAGGAAAAAGGGAUUUGACUGUGUAGAGUUGGCAGUGAAACGACAGAAGCUUGAUUCGCUUGUGUAAUGUCUAUAUAGUCUGUACUCUGCACGUUGUUCAUCUUCCGCUUAAUUGGUGCGAGAGACUAAAUCUCUAUGUAUAGUAAGUAGUAGACUAAAAAAACUCUAUGGUAUACAUGUAUAGAUGAAUGUCUAGGGUGCAAGUGUGUGUGUGCUAUUAUUAGAUGUAUGUUUAGGGUGCCUGUGUGUGUAUUAGAUGUAUCAUGUAUGUGUAGGGUGCAUGUGUGUUAUUAUUAGAUGUAUGUGUAGGGUGCAGGCGUGUGUGUAUUAGAUGUAUGUGUAGGGUGCAUGUGUGUGUGUAUUAGAUGUGUAUGUAUAGGGUGCAAACGUAGCGACAAUACUGAACCCCUCCCCCAACGCAAAUGCAAAAACACUAGAAUUAAACCACAAACAGAAAACAAAACAACACGUUAGUCGAAACAAAAUUUAAACCAGCAAAGUAUCAGUGAAAAAUAUAGUUAAGUUGAAGUGUUGGCACGUAUCCACAUUAAUCUCAUAGUAGCCUACAGUUAAAGAAUUGACGGUCAGCGGGGAUUUAGUCACAAAUGUAGUCCAACAACGGUGGUCCAAAAGAUAGGAGGCGGACAAAUCCCAAAUCCAGCACGGUUACAAAUCCCAAAUUGAUCCGCCAAAGGAAACAUCUUUUGCUAAAAGUCCACAUACAUGAUCCGCAGACACCGCCCGUCCCAACCACGGUAACCAUCCGAUCGCAAUCACCAUUCAAGUCUAUAUUGCCAUAAGUAACAGUCGUUAGCAGUUUUUUUCUGUCUUAAUUUAUAAAGUUGUUUUUACAAAAAAAAUUGGCAGAUCAUGAAAUAUUUGAUAUAUUGUUAUAUAAAUCUACUGUUUGAGAAAAACUGUAUCCAUCUUAAAUUUUUGUAAAAGAAUAAUCCUAAUUAGUAACAAUAAAAAUUUAUAAACCCGCCACGGUUGUAACAUUA